rnacentral:misc_RNA from 1 species
UCAUUUAUAAUAAUUCUUAUUCUAAGCGAAUAAGUAAAUAAUAUAUAUGACAAACAACACGUAGUCUGCCAUACGCA